rnacentral:rRNA from 1 species
GUCUACGGCCAUGCCACCCUAAACAAGCCCGAUCUUGUCUGAUCUCGGAAGCUAAGCAGGGUCAGGCCUGGUUAGUACUUGGAUGGGAGACCACCUAGGAAGACCAAGUUCUGUAGAUG